UACGUAGGGAGCGAGCGUUGUCCGGAUUCAUUGGGCGUAAAGGGGUGCGUAGGCGGUCUGACAAGUCUGAUGUGAAAUCUAUGGGCUCAACCCAUAGUCUGCAUCGGAAACUGUCUUGCUAGAGUAUGGGAGAGGGAGGUGGAAUUUCAGGUGUAGCGGUGAAAUGCGUAGAUAUCUGAAGGAACAUCAGUGGCGAAAGCGACCUCCUGGACCAAUACUGACGCUCAGGUGCGAAAGCGUGGGGAGCAAACAGG
rnacentral:rRNA from 1 species